GAUGAACGCUGGCGGCGUGCCUAAUACAUGCAAGUCGAGCGAACAGACGAGGAGCUUGCUCCUCUGACGUUAGCGGCGGACGGGUGAGUCACACGUGGAUAACCUAACUAUAAGACUGGGAUAACUACGGGAAACCGGAGCUCAUACCGGAUAAUAUAUUACACAGCAUGGUUCACUAGUGCAAGACGGUUCUGCUGUCACUUAUAGCUGGAUCCGCGCCGCAUUAGCUAGUUGGUAAGGUGACGGCUUACCAAGGCAACGAUGCGUAGACGACCUGAGCGGGUGAUUGGCCACAUGGUAACUGAGACACAGUCCAGACGCCGACGGUAGGAAGCAGUAGAGAAUCUUCCGCAAUGGGGGAAAGCGUGAUAUAGCAACGCCGCGGAAGGGAUGAAGGUCCUCGGAUGGGAAAACGCUGAAGGUAGGGAAGAAGAAAAGUUUAUGUACCUGGGCACGUCAUGACGGUACCGAAACAGAAAGCCACGGCUAACUACGUG
rnacentral:rRNA from 1 species